GGCCAGGCCCCAGUGUUCUCCAUUGGGCCCCCUGCGCCAGCUGACUGGGCUUUAACACUCCGCUGCCAACUCGUUCCUGGCCCGAGCCUGGUCUCGGGCCGCCCCGGCGCAGCCUGCGGCGCCCGCUCUUACAUCCUGCCCGCAAGGGAUCCGUGCACCUGAGGCCACAGCACACCUGCUGGCCCUUGGGCCUCGAGCGGGGAGGAGGGUCAGGGUCAGCUCAACUCUUGCCCGAGGGUCCAUGUGAGAAAGACGUUGGGCACCAGGAUCAGCUCCCCGAAGCCAAAUCCUUGAGCCCACCUGCCCAGUGGACGGGACACAGGCCAAGUCCAUCCUGCGCUGCGCGGAAAAUAGAAGAGGAUGACAACUUCCCAAGGAGCCCAGGAACUCCUGGAGCAGGGCUGGUGGGAACUGGCCUGGGGACAGAAGAAGACAGCCUUGUUCCAUCCUGUGCUAAAGCCAUGCCAGCCCCCCACAAACCCAGGGCACAGCCACACUGGGUAGUGAUCACAUGGCCCCAGAGUGUUCUGAAAGGUCCAGAUAUGGGGCUUCAACUGUCCAGGAGGGCAGGCCAGGGAAGACCUGCCCCAGCCCACAGCUCGUGCAUGCGCUGCACGAGGUGUUUGUGCACCCCCCAAACUCAGCCCUCAUGAUGCACCCCAUGGGAUACCACCCUGUUGUAUGGGAGAAGCAGUAAAAUGCCUACGUAGUCCUAGGUGGGGCUCUGAGAUCGGUUUAGUCCGGGAACUCGGCAGAAAUGCGGCCACUUCACAUAGUCCGUCCACUGUCCAAGUAGUCCUGCUGCUCCCCCUGCUGGCCAGACGAGGAACUCGGCCCGCGGACAGCAGCAGCCCCACCAGCAAGUGGCUCGCUCACCCUCCUGGGGACGGCAGUAAGGAGUAGACUUAGUGUCUUGAGCUCCUGAAAGUGAGAUGUUUCUUCGGUGACCGGCAUUAGGGACUCUGGCUAGCACAUAUGACAGGCAAGUACUUCUGCGAGCACUGGUAAUAAGGAAACCUGCCAGAGGAGAUUAAAUCCUCCCUGAAGAUCCAGGUGGUCAACGCAGAGUGAAUCCACACAAUCCAAUUCCCCGCCCGAGCUCCCAGCCUGAUUCCUGAGCUCUACUGUGGGAAAGAUCCACAAAUCAUCACAGAUACGGUCCCAGCCCUCCUGGACGCUUGUUCUUCGGGGAAACCGAUGCAGUUAAACCAGCUCAGUUCUGGAGGAGCCAUACAUGUGCCUGUCCCUGCAACACCCCCACUACUGGUCGGUCCAGCUGUAGAGACUGAGGCUCCCCGCGGGAACCACAAAAGUGCGG
rnacentral:lncRNA from 1 species